AAUCUAAAGCAUUAUCAUGAAGUAUGUUUUAAAUAUAUAUGUUUUCUACUUCAUGCAACUUAGCUAUGCAUUAGUUCUAGAACACAAUAUAUUUUAUAUUGCACAUACUCAAAUACUGUGUAUAUGUUUAAAUCUUAAAUUUUGCAUAUACUCAGUGUUUUGUCAUCAUUAAAAAGGGGGAGAUUGUUGACCCCCUAAUGGAUUUUGAUGAAUACAAAACACGAGAGUAUAAUUUCAUUGAUCUUAACAAUUUAAUUGAGGAUUUCAUGUGUUUAAUUAAGAAUAUUGUUAAGAAAUGUCUAGGCAAGUUCCCAUGAUUUUUAAGGACUUAUUGAAGAAUUUUUUGAGAUGAAAGAAAAAGUUCAGGGACAGCCGAGACGUCUCCGGGUUGUCUCAGAGACGU
rnacentral:lncRNA from 1 species